rnacentral:rRNA from 1 species
GACGAACGCUGGCGGCGUGCCUAACACAUGCAAGUCGAGCGGGGAUGCAGCAAUGCAUUCUAGCGGCGGACGGGUGAGUAACGCGUGAGUAAUCUGUCCCUAACAGAGGAAUAACACAUCGAAAGAUGUGCUAAUACCACAUAAGACCACAACGACGAUGUCGAAGGGGUCAAAGGAGCAAUCCGGUGAGGGGUGAGCUCGCGUCCCAUUAGAUAGUUGGCGGUGUAAAAGACCACCAAGUCGACGAUGGGUAGCCGACCUGAGAGGGUGAUCGGCCACACUGGGACUGAGACACGGCCCAGACUCCUACGGGAGGCAGCAGUGGGGAAUAUUGGGCAAUGGGCGCAAGCCUGACCCAGCAACGCCGCGUGAGGGAAGAAGGUUCUCGGAUUGUAAACCUCUGUCCUGUAUGACGAAGGAAGUGACGGUAAUACAGGAGGAAGCCCCGGCUAACUACGUGCCAGCAGCCGCAGUAAUAC